UACGUAGGGUGCAAGCGUUAAUCGGAAUUACUGGGCGUAAAGCGUGCGCAGGCGGUUUUGUAAGUCUGACGUGAAAUCCCCGGGCUCAACCUGGGAAUUGCGAUGGAGACUGCAAGGCUAGAAUCUGGCAGAGGGGGGUAGAAUUCCACGUGUAGCAGUGAAAUGCGUAGAGAUGUGGAGGAACACCGAUGGCGAAGGCAGCCCCCUGGGUCAAGAUUGACGCUCAUGCACGAAAGCGUGGGGAGCGAACAGG
rnacentral:rRNA from 1 species